GAGAUAGAGGUUGCGGAAACAAUCAGUAGCGCGGAUCCGGCACGGUUGAUGCCCUGCGUAAAAGGUGUUCCCGCCGAAAUCCGGGAUCGUUUCACCGAGCGUUCCGGGUUGGGGCAUGGCAAAAGAUGUCAUGAACUGUCACAUCAGUUUGUUGUGGAGUGCUAUCGGA
rnacentral:ncRNA from 1 species